rnacentral:rRNA from 1 species
CACGUAGGGCGCAAGCGUUGUCCGGAAUUAUUGGGCGUAAAGAGCUCGUAGGCGGUCUGUUGCGUCCGCUGUGAAAACUCGGGGCUUAACCCCGAGCCUGCAGUGGAUACGGGCAGACUAGAGGUAGGUAGGGGAGAAUGGAAUUCCUGGUGUAGCGGUGAAAUGCGCAGAUAUCAGGAGGAACACCGGUGGCGAAGGCGCCUUGCUGGCCAAUUUCUGACGCUGAGGCGCGAAAGCGUGGGGAGCAAACGGG